AAAUGGCACCUGUGAAACUGGUGAAGAUUUGGAGACAGGCAUCACAAAUAGGUUCGAAUAUAUUUUUGCAUGAGCUUGUGUGACAGAGAGAUUUAUUUUGCUUGGUUUUGUGGAUAGUGGAUUGUGGAAUGGAAUAUGGAGCCAGGUUUCUGCAAGAGGCCGAAGGAGAUGACAACGAUGAAGACAGAGAAGUUGAUGAAGAGUAGUCAAGACGUCCACCUGUUGGUGUAAAGGGAUGGACAACAUGAGCUCUGCAGGACCUUCCAGAUGUAGGUUCUGGUCUCCCCAUGGUGGGGGAGACAUCCACUUUUAAUUUGUUCCUGAUGCCAGACAUGAAUUUUACAUCUUCUGAACUCCACUGGAAGAUCUAUUAAUGAUGUUCCACAUUCAUUUUCACUCUGGCUGGUAAUUUUCUCUUAUAUCACUUGAAAUUAUACUCUUGAUAAUUUCACCCCAGAGUGUAGCUACAUCACAGGAUCACUGACUGCAGGAGGAAAGGCUCUUCUGUCUUUGACUAUCGGAUAAUAGCUUCACUUUUAGCCAGCAGAGGAAGUCAAGAGCAAGAGAGUACAGAUAAUGGUUACACUGAGCAAGUGUCAGCCUCCCAGACAGAAUCGUUCUCUUCGGGCAUUUGAAGACAGCUCUCACAUCUGUUCUGGCCUUUCCCUCUUCAUACUAAACAACCCGAUUUCUUUGGCUGCUCGUCCUAUGGCUCACGUUGUAGAUCUAACCUUUC